rnacentral:rRNA from 1 species
CAGCACCGCGGUAAUACGGAGGGUGCAAGCGUUAAUCGGAAUUACUGGGCGUAAAGCGUGCGUAGGCGGUUCGUUAAGUCUGUUGUGAAAGCCCCGGGCUCAACCUGGGAAUGGCAAUGGAUACUGGCGAGCUAGAGUGUGUCAGAGGAUGGUGGAAUUCCCGUGUAGCAGUGAAAUGCGUAGAUAUGCGGAGGAACACCGAUGGCGAAGGCAGCCCCCUGGGCCAACACUGACGCUCAUGCACGAAAGCGUGGGGAGCAAACAGGAUUAGAUACCCGCGUAGUCCCUGUCUCUUAUACAC